AGUGUGAGACGUGUAGCUAGGGCUGUGCACUCCACAGAGCUGGUGGGAGCUGGGAAUAGGUGAAAACCCUGCCUCCUUGUGAGUUGGCAGGACGGGAGCCUCCUGUUCCCUGGCUGCUGUUGUGGCCACCGAGCCGCAGCCCUGGAGCCAGGCAUCCCUGUGCUUGGGGAUCAGAGCGAGCAGGAGCAGAUCCUCUCCCUUCUGGGUGCAGCUGCAGCUGCCCAGCCAUGGCUGUGGUCCCGGAAGUCUCUGUGCUCUUGGGAGCUGGGAGGGCCCUCUGCCUCCUGCCCCUUACGCACUCCAGAGUCUCCUCUCUGUUGAGAGCUAAGCAGACAUCAGGACUACCAGCUGCAGAGAGGAGCUACCCACUGUGGGCUUCGUCUCUGCUGAGAGCUGAACACUCACUGGGACGCCCUGCCUAUGGAAACCAGCUGUUCACUCUGGGUCUCCUCUGAGCUGUUCUGUCGCUCAGUAAAGGUCUUCUUCUGCUUACUCGCCCUCCAUUUGUCUGCCUUACCUCAUUCAUCCUGGACACAGGACAAGAACUUGGGACUUGCCGGUAUGGUGGAGCUAAAAUAGCUGUAACACAAACAGGAUUGAAACAUGCCCCUUGCUCGCCACAUUGUGGAUGACAAGAGGGAGGGAAGAAAGGAGAGAAGAUCUGCGACCCUUCGGCAAACCCAGACUUAGGAGAUCGGAGAGCCAAGACUGUGACACCCUUUCUGGGGCUCUGUGGUUCCUGGCGUCUCCAAGCUUCUGGGCACCUCGGCUUUCCCCGGUGCCAGUCGUGGAAGCUGCUUGUGGCCUCCAUUUGCUGUUUGGGAAACUCUCUACGCUAUGAAUGUUAGCUGGCAGCAAACACUGCCUCCCACUACAGGGGCACACAGUGUUGGUGCCUGCUUUUCCACCCUCCACUUCCAACAGGAAGCAAGCACAGGACCCAAGCAUUGCAGACAGUUGUAUCACGCCAAUGUGCAUUCGGAGCCACUGACAGGUGUUUUAAGAGCGGCUUAAGCAAAUCCCUUAUUGAGGUAAAGUGUUAAACCCUAUAGUGUUGGCAGGGGAUGUACUGGAUUAGGAACUUAUACCUGCUUAGGCAAUCUAAAGACAAGAAACUCAUCUUCAGGCGUCAGAAGAAAUUUAGAAAAAUGAAUGAGAAAGAGCAAGAGAGUGAAAGCGAGUGAGAAGAGAGUAAGAGAAAGAGACUGAGAGCAUGCGUGAGAGAGAGAUACCCAUAGUCAGGGGCCUCUUCAUGGGUGACAACCAGCGCAGUCUGACAGGGCUCCACAUUCAAGAGAUACCUGAACUACCAGGGGCUUAAUGCUGUGAGACUGACAUAUUGAAACUCUUAAUAGUGACAUUUAUGUUUUUAAAGGUAAGUCCCUAGGAAAGCGGUUCUGGAGCUUCACAUGUGGCCCUGCCUUCCAAUGCCUGCUUGAGAUGGGUUCUUGGUAGCUAGCUUUUUACCUACCACUUUUCACCUCUGCCCAGCUUCCACUGUCACUGACUGCUCAGAAUGAACUCCAGCUUGUAUUGACACGGGAAGCCCUGUGGUCUUCCACUGCUGUCUGCCUUAAUAGGUAACUUGAACACAUUCAUGGAAAUUUGCAGGGUUUGGUGGACACAUACUGUGACAUCUUGGGAUGAGGCAUGCUGCAGUUAUCCCUGCUCUGGGCUGUCAGUGCCAAAGUGCAUUCAGACAUUGACUUGAAGGGGCAAGUUGUUAUCUACCCCUGAUCCAAGGUUUUAUUACAGCUUGGUAUAGAGAUUGCAAUUCCUUGGUGGUUUGCUUGUCAGCCUUGGGUAGUGUGGUGGGUCCAUCCCAACCCAGCACACUGUGUAUCUGACUAAAAGCUUGAAGAGAGGAAAGCCAGCAGGCAGUGGGCUUUUCCUUGAGUUGUGUUGCAGGCCCCCAGGUACCUGUGAGGAUCUGCAUGCAUUCCAUAAGUAUCCCCAUGUGUGAGGGAGCUCAAUGUUAAACAGCAAUUUUUUAAAAAAAUGACAGGUAGAGAGACUGUGGAAGAGG
rnacentral:lncRNA from 1 species